rnacentral:rRNA from 1 species
UACGUAGGGGGCAAGCGUUGUCCGGAUUUAUUGGGAGUAAAGAGCGUGUAGGCGGCCAAACAGGUCAGCUGUGAAAACUCGAGGCUCAACCUCGAGACGUCGGUUGAAACCGUUUGGCUAGAGUCCGGAAGAGGAGAGUGGAAUUCCCGGUGUAGCGGUGAAAUGCGCAGAUAUCGGGAAGAACACCCGUGGCGAAGGCGGCUCUCUGGGACGGUACUGACGCUGAGACGCGAAAGCGUGGGGAGCGAACAGG